rnacentral:rRNA from 1 species
UACGUAGGGUGCGAGCGUUAAUCGGAAUUACUGGGCGUAAAGCGUGCGCAGGCGGUUCGUUGUGUCGGCGGUGCAAGCCCCGGGCUUAACCUGGGAAUGGCCGUUGAAACUGGCGAACUGGAGUGUGGCAGAGGGGGGUGGAAUUCCGCGUGUAGCAGUGAAAUGCGUAGAGAUGCGGAGGAACACCGAUGGCGAAGGCAGCCCCCUGGGCUAACACUGACGCUCAGGCACGAAAGCGUGGGGAGCAAACAGG